AGGCGAAACCGGGCUUCGGUCCGGUCUGUCGGUAAGAGCCGGCACUGAUGAGCCUGAAA
rnacentral:hammerhead_ribozyme from 1 species